UCAGUUCACCUCCUGCGAGCGGGGAACAAACUGAGCGCAAAGUAUCUGGAGGCCGUAAUGGGGGGCGCGCCUCGGAGUGGGGCUAACUAAGGACAAGAUCUCAGCCCGCGCUGGGAACAAAGCCUGGAUCGGGCUGGUUAGCGCGGGGGCUAGGUAAGGGCAGGGUCAGGGCUGAGGACAGCGCUGUGUGUAGUGGGCGCCUCCCGCGCACACAAAGGGAUCCAGCCCGCGUGGCCCGCCCCCCGCCUGCCUGUGCGCGCAUCGCCCGGCUGGGUGGGCUAUCAGCGCUGUCCAGAUGUGUAGGGCGGGCUGCCAGCCGGGGUGAGGGGCAGGCUAGGACAGGUAACUGCAAAACGUCUCCGCCUGCUGCUGCCUAAUGGAGCCCCCGAGAGGCUUCUUCGGCAUGGCGAGGAGGAGAACUGGAGAAACACAGGUAGAGCGAGGCUGCCCGUUUAGAAGGGCCACUGCCUGCAUUUUAAAGGGAGAAAAUACCAGAUAUUAAAGGGCUCUUCAGUCUACCAGAGGAAGGCAUAACAAGAACCAAUGGCUGGAAGCUGAAGCUGGAUAUUCAAAUUAGAAAUUAGGGACAAUACUUUUAACCUUUGGGACCAACUACCAAGGGAAGUGAUUGGUUCUCCAUCUCUUGACGCCUUCCGAUCAAGACUGAUGCCUUUCUGGAAGUUAUGCUUUAGUGAACACACAAGUUAUUGGGCUCAGUACAGGACUAACUGGUGAAAUGUAAUGGCCUAUGAAAUACGGGAGGUCUGACUAGAUGAUCUAAUGGUCCCUUCUGGCCUUAAACUCUUUGAAUCUA